rnacentral:tRNA from 1 species
UAGGGUAUAGCUCAGUGGUAGAGUGUGUGCUUAGCAUGCACAAGGUCUUGGGUUCAAUUCCCAGGACUUUUA